CCGAGACCUCAGAGUGAGUAUAGUACAUUCUCUCUCAUAAAUCGCUUGACAGAGGUGAUGAACACAGACUGCGUUUAGGGCCAUCCUUCUCGGCGAGACAGAAAGCUGGCCCCCGAGUGCACCAGCACGCAUGCCCAGAGCACCCCAGACCUCUCUGGCUAGAAUUCCAGUAGGCCUGUGAAGACCAGAAGUUUGUGCAGGAAACCCCUGAUGCGCAGACCCGGCCCUGUCUGCCUCGUGCUUUCCCUUCCAGCAAGCACCAUCGACUCAAAAGCGUAAUUCUCCCCAGGGAGGGUGUGGAAGAUACAGGAGUCAACGGCACAUCGUUCGCCUGGUCCACGAGCGCAGACAAGGCAGAUUUCAGUGCCUUUGCUCAACGCUGAUCCUGGGAUCCAGCAGGAGCGGUGGGACUUAGGAAAUCUAAACUCUGAAAGAAUGUGCCUCCUGUAAUGUAAUGCUGGGAAAUACAAGCGGGGUGAAACAUUUAUUAUUAUUGUUAAUUGUGGCAAAAUAUAUGUAACACAAAAGUUA